rnacentral:rRNA from 1 species
UACGGAGGAUGCGAGCGUUAUCCGGAUUUAUUGGGUUUAAAGGGUGCGUAGGCGUACUGUCAAGUCAGCGGUAAAAUUGAGAGGCUCAACCUCUUCCCGCCGUUGAAACUGGUGGUCUUGAGUGGAUGAGAAGUACGCGGAAUGCGUGGUGUAGCGGUGAAAUGCAUAGAUAUCACGCAGAACUCCGAUUGCGAAGGCAGCGUACCGGCAUCCAACUGACGCUGAGGCACGAAAGCGUGGGGAUCAAACAGG